UCUACCAAGACUCAUUUAGUGACGCUGCAGAGCAGCAAAACACGGAUAUACUGGAUCAGAACACCACGAACUCUUCAGCUGUAUAGAAAUGGCUGCAGAGGACAACAAAAUGGAGAUCAGCUGCUCUGCAGAAGAAAAGGAUCACAAAGCAGAAAGUCAGGCAGAAGGGCCCAACCAGGAGACUGGUGAGCCUCUGAUCAGAUCAGGCAGCAUCGAUGUGGGUCAUCAUGGCCAUCUGAGGAAUGUCUGCAGAGACAGAAACGGAUGCUGAGGGAGUCAUGGAAACGGUAUCCAUGGAGACAGCCACCCAUCAAGGGUCAACAUGCCAAACUAGAAAGGGAAAAAUAAUCAAAACCAAAAUAGGCCUUUCAAAGUAUUUCUAAGUUUUUCUGCAUUUAUAGAACAUUACUGAAGGUUAAUUUAUAUGAGUAAUUCAAAGCGGAAAUUAACUGGAGUGGUGAUCAGGAUGCCUCCUGAUUAAUUCACAUCGACUUUGAUGGAACUCACUUUGACUUUUCCUCCUGUCGCUUGUCUAAAUAACAUAGUUCUCUAUAAACUCACCCAGUUUACUGGCUGUUUCUCUGACCUCCUUCAUCUUCUGCAGAACUGAAGCAUUAAUCUCUGGAGCGUUGGCAGACAUCACACAGACCAGGACAUGAACCUUGUCAUUAAGUGAGGGAUUUGGGUUGUAACCAUAAUCGUCUUUAGUCAGUGGGCCUACUGGGUUAAACUGCAAAAAAAAAAAAAAGACAGAAAAAGCAAAAUGAGACAUGAAAUUUUAAAAUCAAAACAAAAUAUCUAUAUUUUUUUGGAUGAACUAAUAUCCUUCAGAUAUUUGCAAAUCUUACAACAUCUGAGAGGGGAGCAGCUCCUGUUACGUAUCCUAAUAUUCAAGCAGCAGGGGAAUGUGCUAAAAUACACCAGAAGGACUCCUUUGUCAGCAAUGUUUUUCAGCAGACCCACUGCUUCAUCGUGCAGAGGGGACAUCCGACUUAAUUCAGAGAUUUUGUGGUGGAGGUGUUCAAACCAAUACACAGCAUAAUCUUUAUUGUAGGAGUACAUGCUGCAUGUUUACUUGGAGGUGACGAUAAUCCAUCUUUUUAUCCAAGGGAUAUAAAUGAGCAGGAAAAGGUGCUAUAGCUAAUUCCUGCUGAUCAAAACAAACACUGGAUUUUUUGUGUCCUCACUCAGUCGGCUUUAGCAACUUUGGCCUCUCAAGCCAUGCCCCCUUCAUCCUUACCAAACAGUGUAUUAUCUUCCAAACAUUGCAAGUUACAAGUUAUUCAUGUCUCCUUUGAAACUAGACAAAUCCCUGCUGGUAGAGCAUAGAGCCCAAAUGGACAAAGAGCAGCUGCUGCAGAGAUCCAAACAACUAUUAAGCAUCUAAUGUUAGGAUAUGUUUGCUAAAUUUUAAAACCUAAUUUCAGAAAGCAACUUAAGGGUGUUUUAACACCUUGUAGUCCAGUAGACUCAUUUUUUUUGGAGACCAAAACUGUUUGCUACAUUAUCAGCUGGUACAUUUUGCUUUCACGCUGCACUGUGUUAUACUGUAUGUACCAGACUCUUUGAGAAACUUGCUCACCCCCUCACCUUGGCGCUGCACCAAGAGCCACUGAAGCAAACAACACAAAAACAUGUGAGGAAGACACUGAGCACAACUUCUUUCUUUAUAACAUGUAAACAAAAAUGGAAUGGAGUCAGAUUUUAGUGGCUGUUGGAUUUCACUUUUGUCUAUGAACCAUUUCUCCCACUAACGCUAGACUUGUGAGUUGGUUUUGAUUGUAUUUACCCAGAAUGCUCUGUGUUCUGGGUACCUGCUAAUUUUAUGCAAGUUAUCAUGGAACUAGGUAAAGAGGAUUUGCAUGCAGAUCAUAUAACUAUAGUGCAGGAGCAACAGUGUCCAUAUCUUGUCAUUUUACCAUAAAAGUUGACCAGCUUUCAUGUUUGUCACCUGAAAGUGUCUUCCUGGAGAUCCAGCAUUAACAAUAAUUGGUCUGGGCGUCUGUAGUUUGUUGAAAUGUUUGUUAUUGUUAACAACUUGAAAUAAAACCAGUAUCCUAA